CACGUGGGCAAUCUGCCCUUCACUCUGGGACAAGCCCUGGCAAACGGGCUCUAAUACCGGAUAUCACUCUCGCAGGCAUCUGUGAGGGUCGAAAGCUCCGGCGGUGAAGGAUGAGCCCGCGGCCUAUCAGCUUGUUGGUGAGGUAACGGCUCACCAACGGCGACGACGGCUAGCCGGCCUGAGAGGCGACCGCCACACUGGCACUCGAGACACGGCCCAGACUCCUACGGAGGCAGCAGUCGG
rnacentral:rRNA from 1 species